UACGUAGGGGGCUAGCGUUGUCCGGAAUCAUUGGGCGUAAAGCGCGUGUAGGCGGUCCGGUAAGUCCGCUGUGAAAGUCGGGGGCUCAACCCUCGAAUGCCGGUGGAUACUGUCGGGCUAGAGUGCGGAAGAGGCGAGUGGAAUUCUCGGUGUAGAGGUGAAAUUCGUAGAUAUCGAGAGGAACACCGGUGGCGAAGGCGGCUUCCUGGACAGUGACUGACGCUGAGACGCGAAAGCGUGGGGAGCAAACAGG
rnacentral:rRNA from 1 species